UGGGGAAUAUUGCACAAUGGGCGCAAGCCUGAUGCAGCCAUGCCGCGUGUGUGAAGAAGGCCUUCGGGUUGUAAAGCACUUUCAGCGAGGAGGAAGGUGGUGAGCUUAAUACGCUCAUCAAUUGACGUUACUCGCAGAAGAAGCACCGGCUAACUCCGUGCCAGCAGCCGCGGUAAUACGGAGGGUGCAAGCGUUAAUCGGAAUUACUGGGCGUAAAGCGCACGCAGGCGGUUUGUUAAGUCAGAUGUGAAAUCCCCGGGCUCAACCUGGGAACUGCAUUUGAAACUGGCAAGCUAGAGUCUCGUAGAGGGGGUAGAAUUCCAGGUGUAGCGGUGAAAUGCGUAGAGAUCUGGAGGAAUACCGGUGGCGAAGGCGGCCCCCUGGACGAAGACUGACGCCCAGGUGCGAAAGCGUGGGGAGCAAAACAGGAUUAGAUACCCUGGUAGUCCACGCUGUAAACGAUGUCGAUUUUGGAGGUUGUGCCCUUGAGGCGUGGCUUCCGGAGCUAACGCGUUAAAUCGACCGCCUGGGGAGUACGGCCGCAAGGUUAAAACUUAAAUGAAUUGACGGGGUCAUAGCUGUUUCCU
rnacentral:rRNA from 1 species